rnacentral:rRNA from 1 species
UACGUAGGGUGCGAGCGUUGUCCGGAAUUACUGGGCGUAAAGAGCUCGUAGGUGGUUUGUCGCGUUGUUCGUGAAAACUCACAACUCAAUUGUGGGCGUGCGGGCGAUACGGGCAGACUGGAGUACUGCAGGGGAGACUGGAAUUCCUGGUGUAGCGGUGGAAUGCGCAGAUAUCAGGAGGAACACCGGUGGCGAAGGCGGCAUCCUGGACCGACACUGACGCUGAGGAGCGAAAGCCAGGGGAGCAAACGGG